rnacentral:piRNA from 1 species
UGUGAGGGUUAGCAAUUGAGAGA